rnacentral:rRNA from 1 species
UACGUAGGGUGCAAGCGUUGUCCGGAAUUAUUGGGCGUAAAGAGCUCGUAGGCGGUCUGUCGCGUCGGCUGUGAAAUCCCGAGGCUCAACCUCGGGUCUGCAGUCGAUACGGGCAAACUGGAGUGUUGCAGGGGAGACUGGAAUUCCUGGUGUAGCGGUGAAAUGCGCAGAUAUCAGGAGGAACACCGGUGGCGAAGGCGGGUCUCUGGGCCGAUACUGACGCUGAGGAGCGAAAGCGUGGGGAGCAAACAGG